rnacentral:SRP_RNA from 1 species
CCACGCUAGAUGGGGAGUUAGCGGUGCCCUGUAACCUGCAAUCCGCUAUAGCAGGGUCGAAUCCGGCAUAAGGUGCUUUUCUGUAGUGCAGGUCUUGGUAAGGGGCGAUGAAGGCCGGGUCUUGCGCAACGAAUCCUUGCCAACCCCGCCAGGCCCGGGAGGGAGCAACGGUACGCAAGGCUCUUCGGGUGCCGCAAGGGUGCCUGGCUGGAGCAACCUGCCUGGAUUUCGGCUGUAGGGAGGUCAUCGAGUGCCGGUGCGUGG